rnacentral:rRNA from 1 species
AGUGAACGCUGGCGGUAGGCCUAACACAUGCAAGUCGAACGGCAGCACAGUAAGAGCUUGCUCUUACGGGUGGCGAGUGGCGGACGGGUGAGGAAUACAUCGGAAUCUACUUUUUCGGGGGGGAUAACGUAGGGAAACUUGCGCUAAUACCGCAUACGACCUACGGGUGAAAGCAGGGGAUCUUCGGACCUUGCGCGAUUGAAUGAGCCGAUGUCGGAUUAGCUAGUUGGCGGGGUAAAGGCCCACCAAGGCGACGAUCCGUAGCUGGUCUGAGAGGAUGAUCAGCCACACUGGAACGGAGACACGGUCCAGACUCCUACGGGAGGCAGCAGUGGGGAAUAUUGGACAAUGGGCGCAAGCCUGAUCCAGCCAUACCGCGUGGGUGAAGAAGGCCUUCGGGUUGUAAAGCCCUUUUGUUGGGAAAGAAAAGCAGCAGGUUAAUACCCCGCUGUUCUGACGGUACCCAAAGAAUAAGCACCGGCUAACUUCGUG